UUAUCCGUUUGACAACACAUUUUGCUAAUGCUUUUUUUUUUUUUUUAGUUCAAAGAAGACUGGUACGAGAAAUAAACAAGUUGAGUAGUUUCGAAAGCAAUUGGCUCUUUCUUUUUUUUUUUAAACUUGUCUUAUUAAUGUUAACAUAACAUUUUGUUUUUAGUCCGAGUAUGUCGUCAGUUGAAAACCGUAACGGUUCUCAUUGUGCCUGUUCUUCCGGUUUAUACGAAUAAGGUAAGAACAUUCAAGAAAGCGUUUGAUAUGAAGUCUGUUCCAUUAUUGCUCUUA
rnacentral:lncRNA from 1 species